CUAAGAAGGUGUGUGUUCAGAGGGGGGGGUAGAAUUCACGUGUAGCAGUGAAAUGCGUAGAUAUGUGAGAUACCGAUGCGAAGGCAGCCCCCUGGGAUAACACUGACGCUCAUGCACGAAAGCGUGGGGAGCAAACAGGAUUGGAUACCCUGGUAGUCCACGCCCUAAACGAUGUCUACUAGUUGUCGGGUCUUAAUUGACUUGGUAACGCAGCUAACGCGUGAGGUAGACCGCCUGGGGAGUACGGUCGCAAGAUUAAAACUCAAAGGAAUUGACGGGGACCCGCACAAGCGGUGGAUGAUGUGGAUUAAUUCGAUGCAACACGAAAAACCUUACCUACCCUUGACAUGGAUGGAAUCCCGAAGAGAUUUGGGAGUGCUCGAAAGAGAACCAUCACACAGGUGCUGCAUGGCUGUCGUCAGCUCGUGUCGUGAGAUGUUGGGUUAAGUCCCGCAACGAGCGCAACCCUUGUCAUUAGUUGCUACGAAAGGGCACUCUAAUGAGACUGCCGGUGACAAACCGGAGGAAGGUGGGGAUGACGUCAAGUCCUCAUGGCCCUUAUGGGUAGGGCUUCACACGUCAUACAAUGGUACAUACAGAGGGCCGCCAACCCGCGAGGGGGAGCUAAUCCCAGAAAGUGUAUCGUAGUCCGGAUUGGAGUCUGCAACUCGACUCCAUGAAGUUGGAAUCGCUAGUAAUCGCGGAUCAGCAUGUCGCGGUGAAUACGUUCCCGGGUCUUGUACACACCGCCCGUCACACCAUGGGAGCGGGUUUUACCAGAAGUGGGUAGCCUAACCGCAAGGAGGGCGCUCACCACGGUAGGAUUCGUGACUGGGGUGAAGUCGUAACAAGGUAGCCGUAG
rnacentral:rRNA from 1 species